rnacentral:rRNA from 1 species
GCGGUAAUUCCAGCUCCAAUAGCGUAUAUUUAAGUUGUUGCAGUUAAAAAGCUCGUAGUUGGAUUUCGGGUGGGUUCUAGCGGUCCGCCUACGGUGAGUACUGCUAUGGCCUUCCUUUCUGCCGGGGACGGGCUCCUGGGCUUCACUGUCCGGGACUCGGAGUCGGCGAGGUUACUUUGAGUAAAUUAGAGUGUUCAAAGCAGGCAUACGCUCUGAAUACUUUAGCAUGGAAUAACAUGAUAGGACUCUGGCCUAUCUUGUUGGUCUGUAGGACCGGAGUAAUGAUUAAGAGGGACAGUCGGGGGCAUUCGUAUUUCAUUGUCAGAGGUGAAAUUCUCGGAUU